rnacentral:ncRNA from 1 species
CUUAUCACGAGUGGCAGAGGGAAGGGCCCGAUGAAGUCACGGCAACCGGCUGAACAGCUUCAGCGGCUCGGUGCCAAAUCCCACAGCGUAGCACACAGAUCAAACGCUGACAGAUAAG